GGCUGGCCUUUUCCUCUCACAGGUGCGCUUCCCUGCUUUAUCUGUGUACACUGCUCUUUCUCCUUCAUUCCGCAGCCUCCUUUGCCCUGUGACCUGCAGGUACUGGACGGUCCCUAGAGAGGAUACCGGGACGCUCCUGAAGCCGCGAGAUGAUUGCAAGCAGAUGCAGCCUGACCAUUAGGGCCAAGGCCAAAUUGCAAAAAAAAAAAGAAGUUUGCCUUUAUUCUACUCCAUCCACAUCUAAACUUUGGAGGUCAAGGCUGUGGACAGAUCAGAAGACAUAGUUCCCUCCUUCUGGGGCUCCACAUCAUUCACUGAUCUCUGGGAAGGAGGAUGGGUGGCAGGAUGGGUCUUCCAUGAUACUGAAGGGAGAGCCACAUGUUGAUGCCCAGGACCAGCUGCCUCCUUGGUCUGAAAGGCCUGAUUGAGGCCAGGAUUGGCUAUGAGAGCUGGGAAGUGGGACCACCUUUGAAGCCAUGGGAGAG